AUCGCUUCUCGGCCUUUUGGCUAAGAUCAAGUGUAGUAAAUCUUCAAAUAUAUGGCUGUGAGUGUGGCCUUUAUCUCAUGUAUCAACUUCU
rnacentral:snRNA from 1 species